CACAUCGAAAAAACCCAAUUUUGCCUCCCUCUUUUACUCAAAAAAAAAAAAACAAAAACAAAAAUUACCACACUCUGUUCUUUCUUUAAAAAAAAUUUUCUUUUCUUUAUUUAGAUACUUUAACGGGCUCAUAUUCUUUCUAGAGCAGCGGUAAUAAUCUUCUUUUUUUUUUUUAUAGAAAAAUAAUAUACUAUCCGUUUCGUUUAUUUUAUUUAAAAAUAAAUUUAGCUGAAAAUAUAAAUUAAUUAGAAUUCGAAUUUAGAUCUCAGAUAUCAAUCAUCAAAUAUUUUUACCAUUUACGCUAGAGACAGUCGGUCGGUAAUG
rnacentral:lncRNA from 1 species